GGACCUGUAGUUCAACGGUUAGAACGGGUUUCUUAUAAAAACCAGAAGAUGGUUCGAUUCCAUCCAGGUCCA
rnacentral:tRNA from 1 species